GCAAGUCGAACGAACCUUCGGGUGAGUGGCGCACGGGUGCGUAACGCGUGGGAAUAUACCCUUGAGUAAGGAAUAACUGCUGGAAACGGUAGCUAAUACCUUAUAAUGACUUCGGUCCAAAGAUUUAUCGCUCAAGGAUUAGCCCGCGUUAGAUUAGCUUGUUGGUGAGGUAAUGGCUCACCAAGGCUACGAUCUAUAGGGGGUCUGAGAGGAUGAUC
rnacentral:rRNA from 1 species